rnacentral:rRNA from 1 species
GAUGAACGCUGGCGGCGUGCCUAACACAUGCAAGUCGAGCGGAGAUACAGGAAGUACUUGUACGGAUUGUAUCUUAGCGGCGGACGGGUGAGUAACACGUGAGUAACCUGCCUUUUACUGGGGAAUAACAUCGAGAAAUCGGUGCUAAUACCGCAUAAUGUCACGAGAUCGCAUGGUUUUGUGACCAAAGGAGUAAUUCGGUAAAAGAUGGACUCGCGUCCGAUUAGGUAGUUGGUGAGGUAACGGCCCACCAAGCCUACGAUCGGUAGCCGAACUGGGAGGUUGAUCGGCCACAUUGGGGCUGAGACACGGCCCAGACUCCUACGGGAGGCAGCAGUGGGGAAUAUUGGGCAAUGGGGGAAACCCUGACCCAGCAACGCCGCGUGAAGGAAGAAGGUCUUCGGAUUGUAAAACUCUGUUGUUAGAGAAGAACAAGGAUGAGAGUAACUGUUCAUCCCUUGACGGUAUCUAACCAGAAAGCCACGGCUAAC